rnacentral:SRP_RNA from 1 species
GCUGGGUGUGGUGGUGGGCACCUGUAAUUCCAGCUACUUGGGAAGCUAAGGCGGGAGAAUCGCUUGAACCCGGGAGGCAGGGAUUGCAGUGAGCUGAGAUCGUGUCACUGCACUCCAGCCUGGGUGAUAGAGCGAGACUCUGUCUCAA